UACGAAGGGGGCUAGCGUUGCUCGGAAUCACUGGGCGUAAAGCGCACGUAGGCGGAUUGUUAAGUCAGGGGUGAAAUCCAGGAGCUCAACUCCAGAACUGCCUUUGAUACUGGCGAUCUCGAGUCCGGGAGAGGUGAGUGGAACUGCGAGUGUAGAGGUGAAAUUCGUAGAUAUUCGCAAGAACACCAGUGGCGAAGGCGGCUCACUGGCCCGGUACUGACGCUGAGGUGCGAAAGCGUGGGGAGCAAACAGG
rnacentral:rRNA from 1 species